rnacentral:rRNA from 1 species
AGUCGAGCGAAGCUUUUCAGUAGUUUACUACAGAAAAUGACUGAGCGGCGAACGGGUGAGUAACGCGUGAGCAAUCUACCUUAGUUACAGGGAUAGCCCGAGGAAACUCGGAUUAAUACCUGAUAUUCUCUAAAUUUCGCAUGAAAUUAAAAGGAAAGGUCAGCCGAACUAAGAUGAGCUCGCGUUCUAUCAGCUAGUUGGUGAGGUAAAAGCUUACCAAGGCAACGACGGAUAGCUGGUCUGAGAGGACGAUCAGCCACACUGGGACUGAGACACGGCCCAGACUCCUACGGGAGGCUGCAGCAGGGAAUAUUGCGCAAUGAGCGAAAGCUUGACGCAGCGACACCGCGUGUGGGAUGACGGAUCUAGGUUUGUAAACCACUUUCAGGAGGGAAGAAAAUGACGGUACCUCCACAAGAAGCCCCGGCCAACUACGUGCCAGCAGCCGCGGUAAUACGUAGGGGGCGAGCGUUGUCCGGAUUUAUUGGGCGUAAAGAGCUCGUAGGCGGUUCAACAAGUCGGUCGUAAAAGUUCAGGGCUCAACCCUGAAAUGUCGAUCGAUACUGUUGUGACUAGGAUACGGUAGAGGUGAGUGGAAUUCCGAGUGUAGCGGUGAAAUGCGUAGAUAUUCGGAGGAACACCAAUUGCGAAGGCAGCUCACUGGGCCGCUAUCGACGCUGAGGAGCGAAAGCUAGGGGAGCAAACAGGAUUAGAUACCCUGGUAGUCCUAGCUGUAAACGAUGGAUACUAGACGUAGGAACUGGAUUGACGGUUUCUGUGUCGUAGCUAACGCGUUAAGUAUCCCGCCUGGGGAGUA